rnacentral:misc_RNA from 1 species
AACGCACGAGACCUGCGGACCUGCGGAAGGAUCAUUAGUGAACGCCCUCACGGGCUUAUAACUAUUCCAAACCUCUGUGAACCGUGCCCUUCGGGGCUAUUUUACAAACAUGGUGUAAUGAACGUCAUAUAUCAUAACAAAACUAAACUUUCAACAAUGGAUCUCU